GAAUGAGGUGAUGAUUUGAACUUUGUGUUCCCUAUUGGUUAGUUUGAUUUGCCGCAAUGAUGGCAUCUAUAUGUAUGUAUUAGCUGUAUCUCACUC